rnacentral:rRNA from 1 species
GACGAACCACACGAACGUUAUUCGGAAUUACUGGGCUUAAAGGGUGCGUAGGCUGUGCGGAAAGUUAGGUGUGAAAUCCCCCGGCUCAACCGGGGAAUUGCGCUUAAAACUACCGUGCUAGAGGAAUACAGAGGUGAGCGGAACUUCGGGUGGAGCGGUGAAAUGCGUUGAUAUCCGAAGGAACACCGGUGGCGAAAGCGGCUCACUAGGUAUUUUCUGACGCUGAUGCACGAAAGCUAGGGGAGCAAACGGG